AUUGAACGCUGGCGGCAUGCUUUACACAUGCAAGUCGAACGGCAGCGCGGGCUUCGGCCUGGCGGCGAGUGGCGAACGGGUGAGUAAUACAUCGGAACGUGCCCAGUAGUGGGGGAUAGCUCGGCGAAAGCCGGAUUAAUACCGCAUACGACCUGAGGGUGAAAGCGGGGGAUCUUCGGACCUCGCGCUAUUGGAGCGGCCGAUGGCAGAUUAGCUAGUUGGUGGGGUAAAGGCCUACCAAGGCGACGAUCUGUAGCUGGUCUGAGAGGACGACCAGCCACACUGGGACUGAGACACGGCCCAGACGCCUACGGGAGGCAGCAGUGGGGAAUUUUGGACAAUGGGCGAAAGCCUGAUCCAGCAAUGCCGCGUGUGUGAUGAAGGCCUUCGGGUUGUAAAGCACUUUUGGCGGGAACGAAAAGGACUGUGCCAAUACCACGGUUCGAUGACGGUACCCGCAGAAUAAGCACCGGCUAACUACGUG
rnacentral:rRNA from 1 species